UGAAACUGCGAAUGGCUCAUUACAUCAGUUAUAGUUUAUUUGAUAUUUGAAAGUUACAUGGAUAACCGUGGCAAUUCUACAGCUAAUACAUGCUUCAAAACCUGACUUCGGAAGGGUUGUAUUUAUUAGAUAUUAAACCAUCCCCUCGGGGCUGUGAUGAAUCAUAAUAACUGAUCGAAUCGAGGUUCGCCUUGAUAAAUCAUUCAAGUUUCUGCCCUAUCAGCUGUAGAUGGUAGUGUAUUGGACUACCAUGGCUAUUACGGGUAACGGAGAAUUAGGGUUCGAUUCCGGAGAGGGAGCCUGAGAAACGGCUACCACAUCUACGGAUGGCAGCAGGCGCGAAAAUUGCCCAAUCCCGAUUCGGGGAGGCAGUGACAAAAAAUAACAACCCAGAACAUUGUUUCCGGGAUUGCAAUGAGAACAAUUUAAAAACCUUAUCGAGUACCAACUGGAGGGCAAGUUCUGGUGCCAGCAGCCGCGGUAAUUCCGGCUCCAGUAGCGUAUAUUAAAGUUGCUGCAGUUAAAAAGCUCGUAGUUGAAUUUCUGUUCGUAAGAGUCGAAGCUUUACAGCUAAGAUUUCUUCGAACAUCUGUUUGCAAGCAUACGUUCGGCCUUCACUGGUUGGCUAUGUAAGCAAGCGCUUUACCUUGAGAA
rnacentral:rRNA from 1 species